AUUCUACUCCCUUCGUUGCACAAUACAUGCCUUCUAUUUGUCAAAAUAUAUAUGUAUCUAGACAUGUUUUAGUAUAUAGGUACAUCCAUUUUUGGACAAAUGGAAGUUGAGUAUUUUGGAACGGAGGGAGUACACA
rnacentral:pre_miRNA from 1 species